GUCUUCUCACUGAGCUCCUUUCUGUCUUUUGGUGGCAGUUAAUGAAUUCACAUGAGAAAAAGAGAAUUUACAGAGCUAUCAUCAUUUUACCUUCUGUCUUUACAGAAGUAUUUGUGGCUGUUUUGUGAGACUUUA
rnacentral:snoRNA from 1 species